GCGGUGGACCAACCCCUUUGACCUCAACUUGGCUCCGCAUCCGGUGACGCGCACGUCAGCGACGACCGGGGAGCGGCCCAACGGGCACCGCAACGACAACACGCACCGGGCCGAUGGCGGUGGAAUCCUUGGUUCCCACCCACCUCGCCCGGUCACAGGUAUUGCAUUCGUUGCCGAUCCUCCACCUGAUCAUUGUGAACUUGCUCGAGAUAGUUUUAGUCGCAAUCCACAUAUGCCCAAGUUGCAUUUCCCUAUUUUUGAUGGCGAUAAUCCUAGACUGUGGCGUGAUCGGUGUGAAAUGUAUUUCGAGGCGCUCAAUUUCAAAGGUGUUGCGGCGAAUUGGUUGCAGACAUUGGAGCGCAAGAGGUGCAUUUCUGACUGGGAGGAGUUCUGUAAAGCGGUGUUCGAGCAUUUUGACAGAGACCAGUACCAAACUCAGCUCCGUCAGUUGGAUUCCCUUCGGCAAACGUCAUCGGUGGCUGAGUAUUUGGAUCGGUUUGAACAAUUAUCUCAUGGUAUUCUGCAGUACAAUACCCAUUAUGAUGAUACAUAUUUUGUCACUCGGUUUUUUGGUGGAUUAUCAGAGGAAAUCAGAUCGGCAAUCACUCUCCAUCGCCCACAAGAUGUGGCAGCAGCAAGUGCCUUAGCUCUGCUCCAAGAAGAAGAAUUAGGCAAGACCAAGAAGAGAUCUCUCAUAAAGGACUCUUAUCACAGUAAACUGAAUGCAUCUUCAGAAAAGUUCAGAACACUGUCUGAUGAUACAGUCCCUGCUCCCAAGUCCAAGUCUGAAAGAAUUGAUGGCUCUGAUAAGUUAAAAGAGUUGAUGCAGUUCAUACGCAAGAAUGGGCUAUGCUUCAAAUGUGGUGAGGGUCAGAAUCACACCUGCCUAGCUCAGAUUCCAUUACACGUGAUAGAAGAACUAUGGGAUGCCAUUGGGUCUGAUGAUGACACUCCUUUGUCUGAAAACUGAUGAUUCUGAAGAAAUUGAGGUGGUGAUGGCAGUGAGCUCAGCAGUACCUACAGAGCAGCACAAACGUAAGACUAUGCGACUUCUGGGGACUGUGCAAGGUCGUGAGGUGUUUAUUUUAGUUGAUUCUGGUAGCAUUGGGACUUUUAUCAGCACCUACUUGGCAACCCAAUUAUCUGACCAAUUAUCUCAGUGUCCUGCAUCACACUACACCACUGCUGAUGGUAACACCAUGACCUGCACUUCUAUGGUACAGAAUUUGCAAUGUACAGCUCAAGGCCAUGUGUUCAAUUCUGAUGCUCGAGUACUGUCCUUACAGUGCUUUGAUAUGAUACUAGGCCCGGAUUGGUUAGAAGCAUGCAGUCCUAUGUGGGUUCAUUGGGGUAAGAAACUCAUGAAAUUUACUUAUAAUGGUAAAAGGAUGACACUGCAAGGAAUUAGAUCAGAUGUGCCUAAAUGCACUGCCAUCAGUGCUGGUAAAUUGAAGGGAUUACUUCGUCGAUAGGCCAUCACACACUGUGUUCAAUUGUUACCUAGACAACUCCAUUCUUGAGAGCAGGUUGGCACACAGAAUUCCAACUCUCUUUGCAGUGUGUCAACUUCUAGCCCACCACCUGCCAUACAGGCACUUCUUCAGAAAUACAAGCACUUGUUCCAAGAGCCUGACUCUUUACCACCUCCUAGAGAGUGUGAUCACCAGAUUUCUCUUGUUCCAGGAGCUUCUCCAGUUAAUGUCAGGGCUUAUUGUUAUGCACCAGCUCAGAAGAAUGAAAUAGAAAAGCAAUUAGCUGAUAUGCUUAAGCAUGGCAUAAUUCGUCCCAGUUAUAGCCCAUAUGCCUCACCUGUCCUGCUAGUCAGAAAAAAAGAUGGGACAUGGAGAUUUUGUGUGGACUAUCGUCAUCUGAACAAUAUCACUGUCAAAAAUAAGCAUCCAAUGCCCGUUGUUGAGGAACUCAUUGAUGAACUGGCAGGGGCAGAAUGGUUCUCUAAAUUGAAUUUUCGGUCAGGCUAUCAUCAAAUUAGGAUGGCUAAAGGUGAUGAACAUAAAACAGCUUUUCGUACUCAUAGUGGUCUAUAUGAGUUUUUGGUUAUGCCAUUUGGGCUCACUAAUGCCCCUGCUACCUUUUAAAGCAUUAUGAAUACUAUUUUUGCUCCUCUCUUGAGAAAAGGGGUCCUGGUCUUUAUGGAUGAUAUUUUGAUAUACUCUCAUUCUUUUGAGGAGCACCUGAUUUUGCUGCAGAAGGUUUUUGACAUCAUUCAUGAGCAUCAGUUCUCUAUUAAGUUGUCCAAGUGUUCUUUUGCUCAGAGGAUCAUAGAAUACCUGGGUCAUUGUAUUUCUGCUGACGGAGUGGCUACUGAGCCUUCUAAAGUGCAAGCUGUGCAGCAGUGGCCUACACCUCAUAAUCUAAAAACACUCAGAGGCUUCUUAGGACUGAUUGGGUACUAUAGGAAAUUCAUUAAGUAUUAUGGUAUGAUCAGUCGUCCUUUAACACUGCUUUUGAAGAAAGAAAACUCGACCUGCGAGGGGCUAGCCGCCCCCCGAGCAUUCUUAUAAGAAGGAGGCCUUCUAACGCAGGCCGAGAAACCCCCCGAACCCCGGCUCUUUCUGACCUUGGGUCUGGUGCCAUUUCCUGGAACCGUUACCCGGGCCGGGACCGUUACCCACUGGGCCG